ACAAGCGGUGGAGCAUGUGGUUUAAUCGAAGCAACGCGAAGAACCUUACCAGGUCUUGACAUCCCGAUGCUAUUCUAGAGAUAGAAAGUUACUUCGGUACAUCGGUGACAGGUGGUGCAUGGUUGUCGUCAGCUCGUGUCGUGAGAUGUUGGUUAAGUCCCGCAACGAGCGCAACCCCUAUUGUUAGUUGCCAUCAUUCAGUUGGGCACUCUAGCGAGACUGCCGGUAAUAAACCGGAGGAAGGUGGGGAUGACGUCAAAUCAUCAUGCCCCUUAUGACCUGGGCUACACACGUGCUACAAUGGUUGGUACAACGAGUUGCGAGUCGGUGACGGCGAGCUAAUCUCUUAAAGCCAAUCUCAGUUCGGAUUGUAGGCUGCAACUCGCCUACAUGAAGUCGGAAUCGCUAGUAAUCGCGGAUCAGCACGCCGCGGUGAAUACGUUCCCGGGCCUU
rnacentral:rRNA from 1 species